AUUUUUCUUUGAACUUUGUAGGAAAAGAUUGAUUUGAUCAGAAACAAACAAUGUGCCCCUUAUUACCUGAAGAGCUCUGAUGUUCUUAAUCGCUGUAUACCGACCAUUGUGGGGGACACAUUGACUGCUGGCCUGCAAACUGCCUCUGGACAAAAUGUGUCAGCCAGUGAUGUCCAGGAAGGAUCAUUAGCUGUGCAAGCUUUACUCAAUCUCCAAAAUAUUGGUCAAAAGGUUAUCGCUGAUGUGCAACUAUCAUGGUACUGGAUCCUUGCGUGAGUAUUAAUUUUUCGGAAAAUUUCCUAUAAAAAAAGUACGGCAU